GCUUUGCGGCUGGAUCCCCUCCUUUCUAAGGAUCGUCCCUCAAGACAGGCAUCGUGCCUCUCUUAUCGGACGUCUGGAACAAUGGAUGCCUUGUCAGGCAUCCGCCGAUAUCGAGCGGGACACCGCCGUCUACGUUUCUCUUUCUUCUUCGUGUGCAAGAGCCCUCUCGAAGCGUUCGGGCAGGCGCGCCGGUUCCGUCUCAACCCUGGUGUUGUGCGGUGCGGCGAACUGGCCAAUCCGCGGCGGUCCGUGUAUGGUCCGCCGCGUUGUCGUGUCUGGGGCAAAUACCCCGUUCGACGGCGUCCGGGCCUGUAGCUCAGUCGGUUAGAGCGCACCGCUGAUAACGGUGAGGUCGGUAGUUCGAAUCUACCCAGGCCCACCAUCGAUUUCGCGGGCGUCCAUGAUCGGCAUCAGCGAUCGAGGCCGGGACGAUAAGGGGCCAUAGCUCAGCUGGGAGAGCACCUGCUUUGCAAGCAGGGGGUCGUCGGUUCGAUCCCGACUGGCUCCACCACGCUUUUUUGUGCGCGCCUGAAACGGCAGCGCUGAAAACAAAGCACACGAAACAGGUUUUGAACGGUUCGCCCAAGGCGCGCCGUUCGCGCUGAAUUGACAUCGUGAAGAGGGAAUAGACCGAGGUCGCUGGCCACUUGCCAGGGACGCAGGAUCUGCCGGCUUUCGUAACCGCGAGGCCGUUUGGUUUAUUCCGGUGAAGCAAAUCUGGUCUUUCUCAAAUGCCCAUGCCGUCCGGUUCGCCGGGCAGCACCCUGCCGAGGGGCGGGCAUUGAAAAUGAGAGAAAUCAAGCGACCUAAGGGCAUUCGGUGGAUGCCUUGGCGCUGAGAGGCGAUGAAGGACGUGGUACGCUGCGAUAAGCUUCGGGGAGGUGCGAACAACCUUUGAUCCGAAGAUUUCCGAAUGGGGAAACCCGGAAGC
rnacentral:misc_RNA from 1 species